CUAAGGUCAGGCACCUCUGCAGCACUCCACAGGUUUUGGCCUCAGUCACAUGGGGGUUGUUUUUUUUUUGUACCGGGGCUCGAACUCAGGUCCUUGCGCUUGCGCAGCAGGCGGCAAAACCACUGAGCUACAUCCCCGGCCCCUACGCUCCACGCGUUUGAACAUGGGAACCUUUAUCCAAACCCUGGCGCCUCCCACAGGCCCUGGCUCCUCAUACCGUGAUGCUGGGGUUAAGAUUUAAAGGUGUGAGUUUUAGGGGCUCACAGUCGUGAAGUGGGUGCCUGAGUGCGCGUCUGCACUGUGCACAAAGGGCUCGAUGAUGCCGCUGGGAUCUCCCACUGCCUACCAGUUCCCCGGCAGGCCUCCUGGGUCACAGCUGCCCUGCCCUGGGCACAGUCCCUGCGUGACCACGGCAGAGGGAACAGACGCGCUGCGACCCGAGUGGCUGCUAAUCGUGGACUCUCCCACCGUUACCUUUCGCCCCAGCAUUUCACCUUCAGCCCUGAAGAGCGGGGCUGGAAUCCCCCCAGAGCUCGGGGACCUGGGUCCUGGGUCCCUGGGCACUUGGGGCUCCCCCGUGACAGGGCCUCCCUGCCUCUCCUGGGCCAGGUGGCAUGUGGCCCAGUGCCAGGCGCUGGCUUGGAAAGUGUACACCCCGCUUCCCUCCACAGUUCUGCAGUGGAAGAGGGAGAGAGACAGAAUCCCGCUGCCCGAAGCCAGCACCUGAUUGACGGGCUGUGUCUCUGCAGGACUGGGAGAAGCACUUGCUGGACGCUGCGGGCAGCAAGCCCGGCGACUGGCACAGUGAGCUAGACGGGGACUGGCCGGGGCCCAUGCUGCAGAAGCCGCUCUACCAGGCUGGCCUGAAACCGGAGAGAAUCAGCCAAGACCCCUGGCUGCCUGAGAAGAUGACAGGCACCGGCUACCUGACGCAGUACGACCUCUCGGAAUUCCAGAGCAUCAGCGCCAUCGGGCUGGAGCUGUGGCAGGUGAGGUCGGGAACCAUCUUUGAUAACUUCCUGCUCACAGAUGAUGAGGAGUAUGCAGAAAAUUUUGGGAAAGCCACCUAGGGCCAAACCAAGGUAUAGAGGAUGCACACACUUCCUGUGAGCACUCACCAGCUUGUGUGACUCCCACACUGGAGUCUGUCACGUGGGAGAGGACUCCGGGGUCUGACGAGUGAACCCCCAGCCAGCUUAGAGCACAGGAGGUUUCCAGGGGCCUCCUUCACCUCUCAAGAAGCAUACCCUGUUCACCCCUGAGGAUCCUACAGCCAGACGGGGCAGCCAGCUCCCAGCAGAGGAAAGGCUCCUUUCGGCUCAUGACUCUGGAGGGUCCAAUCCACGGUCACCCACCGGAGGGGAUGCAUCUGUGCUGGGGCUGCCAUCCCCAAUGACCACACGUGGUGCCUUGAGACAGCAGAAUCCACUGCCCUCACGGCUCUGGGGCCAGAAGUCCAAAGUUGUAUCACUGGGCUGAAAUCAAGAUGGGUAUAGGCUGUGGAAGCCAGGAUCUACUCCUGGUGUUCCCUGGCUUGUGACUGCAUCAUGCUAAUCUCUCCUCCAGCGUCACAUGGUCUGCUCUUCUUGUCCCUGUGUAUCAGAUCUCCUUUAUCAUCUCUCUCUUUUUUGUUUUUUGGUACUGGGAAUCAAACUGAGGACCUUGCGCUUGGGAGGCAGGCAUGGUGCCACUGAGAUAAAUCCCCAGCCCACCUUUAUCGUCUCUUACGAGGACGCUUAGGACUGGAUCUAAAUCUAGGAUUGCUCAGCUUGGUAGCCAACCUGUGGCGUGGAACCUUUGAGAGGGGUCCUGGUGGGAGGAAGUGAGGUCACUGGGUGUGGUCUCAAAGGGC
rnacentral:lncRNA from 1 species